UACGUAGGGUGCGAGCGUUGUCCGGAAUUAUUGGGCGUAAAGAGCUCGUAGGCGGUGUGUCACGUCGGCCGUGAAAACCUGGGGCUUAACUCUGGGCGUGCGGUCGAUACGGGCAUCACUAGAGUUCGGCAGGGGAGACUGGAAUUCCUGGUGUAGCGGUGAAAUGCGCAGAUAUCAGGAGGAACACCGGUGGCGAAGGCGGUCUGCUGGGCCGUUGCUGACG
rnacentral:rRNA from 1 species